AUUGUCAGUUCUCUACCACGCCCCCUAGCAACAGAUUGAUUACACAUGGCCUUUCCUGGGAAAAGUUUCUAUACUUCAUAACUGUGCGCAGAGGGAUGGCAGUUGCCAUGGAAUCACAGCAGCUACCUGCAAUAAAGCAACUUUCAGCACCAACAAAAAGUAAAAAAUCUGAAGCAAUGCCAAAACACAGUCUCUUUGGUACAGCUCUGGAAGUUUUUGACCCAGAGGAGCGUGACGCAAUAAAUAAAAUUGACCUCAAAACACAGAGAAUACCAAGUGGUCGAAAACAUGUACAGCGUUAUGUCGUUCCUGAGUUUAUUAAAAAUCACUUAAAAGGAAAAACCAUUGCCAUUGAGAAAACUAAAAAGGAGAUAGAAAAGCAAAAGUCUGCUGUUGAAUCAGCCAGAAAAUCUCUACAAGAAGCUGAGGAGAGUGCCAAGAAAUUUAAAAUGGAUGUUUACGAGGGAAUGAGGGAGGGGGAUCCAACUCCCCGGCAACAGUUGCUGAUGUCCAUGGAAGCCUCGAACAUGCUCAAACAAAUGAACAGAGUAGGACUCAAUGACAGAAACAGUUACAAUAGGGAUAAAUAUGGCCCUAAGCCCAGUGUGCAUAGUUAUAGCUUGAUGGGAGAUGUCAUGCGUCCAAGAAACAUGGAACUUCCAACCCGAAGGGAAAACUCAGAAUAUCCAAUGAAAUUAAAGGAAAAGAAAGAAAAAAUAGAAACAGUGCUCCCGCUUGGACCCGAGGACACGAACCAGUCUGCAAGAGGUUCUUCUCGCAGAAGCCUCCCCUUGGAUUUGCCGGAAAAUAUCCGCCACCAGUUCGGAAGCAAAGUCUGCGAUUCUUUACUCAGUGACGAAAAAGUGGUUGAGAAAACCAUGCAAAAGCAGCAAGAGGACAAAGACGCUGCAUACCGAGUCCGUAAACCGGUUUCGGUUCCAACCAUCGAAAAGAACCUCAAACCAGAUUAUGAACAGUUAGGAAAUUUCAUGAGGAUGAACAUGUUUCCUGGAUAUAACAUCAACCACAAAAUCAGCACCACUAAAUCAACAUUCACAGACUCCGUACACCUCCAGCGUGUUCCUGACCCAGAUAAAUGGAGGUACCAGCGAGAUGAACUCAGCACUUGGGCAGAACAUAAUGUAAUCAACAACAGGAUGAAAAAGGCUUGGCAGAGUUAUUUCGACGAAACUGUUGCCAAAAAAGCUAAUAAAGCCUAGAAAAGCCCUCUUCUACCCUCCAUUAAUUUUCUGUUUGCACAAAAUUUACACUAUACACACUCUUAGCUAUAUGUACAUAAAAUACAAUCAAAAUAAACAAAAAAAUUCUUAGGUACAACAAUUUUAAUCCCAAUUUAGGUACUUGGGCAGAAUUCAACAUUAUAAACGAACGCAUGAAAAAAAGCUGGAAUGAUUAUCUCUCGAGUCAACCCAAAGCAGAAGUCAACUGGAGUAGAAAUGCUGCACCGAAAUCCAAACCUCAACCAGAUCCACCUAAACCAAAACCAGUGAAAAAGAAACCAGCUCAAAAACAAGAAAACCCUUCAAAACCAGAAUUUGAGGAGAUUGUGUUCAAAACACCCCCUAUAACUCCCCCUCCUGAUCAAGGGCCUGUUAAACUGGCCCCCAAAGCAAAAAAAGACAAUGAAUUUUGGGAUUUUUAUGACAAAGGAGGAAAAGAUUCAUAAUUUUAUGCAUAUUUGUCAAAAGAGUUUUUUUUUAUAUAUAUUCAAUGUUACAGUAUUAUCUUAAUUUCUUGAGACCCCCCCCCCCAUUCCUUCCCUCUCCCCAAAAAUGAUUAUAUUUAAGUUUAUAGCCAUGCCCAUAAGAUAUGCAUGCACUAGUUUUUUUUGAAUUGUGAUAUUUAUAUUUCUUAAGAUGUCGUUAAGUUAGAGAUUAUUUAUUAAAAAUACUUGGGUUGCCCCAUCAUUAACAAUCCUUUAGGAGGCAUAAAUAUAUACAUGUAUAUGUAUGAAGGUUUUAUAUUUUUGUUAAUUGUUUAUCAUUACUGCAUAUCUUUGUUCUAUACUUAUGUUGUCAAAAUAUAAUCUUGUCAUGAUUGUUUUUUAUUUGUUUUUUUUUUCUUUGUGAAUAAAGAAAUUAUACAAGAUCUC
rnacentral:misc_RNA from 1 species